rnacentral:rRNA from 1 species
GACGAACGCUGGCGGCGUGCCUAAUACAUGCAAGUUGAGCGCUGAAGGUUGGUACUUGUACCAACUGGAUGAGCAGCGAACGGGUGAGUAACGCGUGGGGAAUCUGCCUUUGAGCGGGGGACAACAUUUGGAAACGAAUGCUAAUACCGCAUAAAAACUUUAAACACAAGUUUUAAGUUUGAAAGAUGCAAUUGCAUCACUCAAAGAUGAUCCCGCGUUGUAUUAGCUAGUUGGUGAGGUAAAGGCUCACCAAGGCGAUGAUACAUAGCCGACCUGAGAGGGUGAUCGGCCACAUUGGGACUGAGACACGGCCCAAACUCCUACGGGAGGCAGCAGUAGGGAAUCUUCGGCAAUGGACGAAAGUCUGACCGAGCAACGCCGCGUGAGUGAAGAAGGUUUUCGGAUCGUAAAACUCUGUUGGUAGAGAAGAACGUUGGUGAGAGUGGAAAGCUCAUCAAGUGACGGUAACUACCCAGAAAGGGACGGCUAACGACG